rnacentral:rRNA from 1 species
AGAGUUUGAUCCUGGCUCAGAACUAACGCUAGCGGCGUGCCUAACACAUGCAAGUCGUACGAGAAAGUCGGCUUCGGCCGGCGAGUAAAGUGGCGCACGGGUGAGUAACGCGUGGAUAAUCUACCCUUGAGUUGGGAAUAACGUGCCGAAAGGUGCGCUAAUACCGAAUAAUACUGAGUGACUAAUGUUGCUUAGUCAAAGAAGGCCUCUGCUUGCAAGCUUUCGCUGAAGGAUGAGUCCGCGUACCAUUAGCUAGUUGGUAGGGUAAUGGCCUACCAAGGCAACGAUGGUUAGCUGGUCUGAGAGGAUGAUCAGCCACACUGGAACUGAGACACGGUCCAGACUCCUACGGGAGGCAGCAGUGAGGAAUAUUGCGCAAUGGGGGCAACCCUGACGCAGCAACGCCGCGUGAGUGAGGAAGGUUUUCGGACCGUAAAGCUCUGUCGAGCGGGAAGAAAUGCAUGCUGGCUAAUAUCCAUCAUGCUUGACGGUACCGCUAGAGGAAGCACCGGCUAACUCCGUGCCAGCAGCCGCGGUAAUACGGGGGGUGCAAGCGUUGUUCGGAAUUAUUGGGCGUAAAGAGCGUGUAGGCGGUUGGACAAGUCAGAUGUGAAAGCCCUGGGCUUAACUCAGGAAGUGCAUUUGAAACUGUUCAGCUGGAGUAAGGGAGAGGAAAGUGGAAUUCCUGGUGUAGAGGUGAAAUUCGUAGAUAUCAGGAGGAACACCGGUGGCGAAGGCGACUUUCUGGCCCUAUACUGACGCUGAGACGCGAGAGCGUGGGUAGCAAACAGGAUUAGAUACCCUGGUAGUCCACGCUGUAAACGAUGUUCACUAGGUGUUGGGAGUAUUGACCCUCUCAGUGCCGCAGCUAACGCAUUAAGUGAACCGCCUGGGGAGUACGGUCGCAAGAUUAAAACUCAAAUGAAUUGACGG